UAUACGACCGUACCGCAAACCGACACUGGUGCGCAAGAUGAGUAUUCUAAGGCGCUUGAGAGAACUCAGGAGAAGGAACUCGGCAAAUUGACACCGUAACUUCGGAAGAAGGUGUGCCCUAUUAGUGUGUAGUGAACAACGAAGCAUGAAUGGGUUGCAAAAAAUCGGUGGCUGCGACUGUUUAUUAAAAACACAGCACUCUGCAAACACGAAAGUGGACGUAUAGGGUGUGACGCCUGCCCGGUGCUGGAAGAUUAAAUGAUGGGGUGCAAGCUCUUGAUUGAAGUCCCAGUAAACGGCGGCCGUAACAAUAACGGUCCUAAGGUAGCGAAAUUCCUUGUCGGGCAAGUUCCGACCUGCACGAAUGGCGUAACGAUGGCCACACUGUCUCCUCCUGAGACUCAGCGAAGUUGAAAUGUUUGUGAUGAUGCAAUCUCCCCGCGGAAAGACGGAAAGACCCCAUGAACCUUUACUGUAGCUUUGUAUUGGACUUUGAACAGAUCUGUGUAGGAUAGGUGGGAGGCUUUGAAGCAGGGUCGCUAGAUCUUGUGGAGCCAACGUUGAAAUACCACCCUGGUGUGUUUGAGGUUCUAACCUAGGUCCAUUAUCUGGAUCGGGGACAGUGCAUGGUAGGCAGUUUGACUGGGGCGGUCUCCUCCCAAAGCGUAACGGAGGAGUUCGAAGGUACGCUAGUUACGGUCGGACAUCGUGACGAUAGUGCAAUGGCAUAAGCGUGCUUAACUGCGAGACUGACAAGUCGAGCAGAUGCGAAAGCAGGACAUAGUGAUCCGGUGGUUCUGUAUGGAAGGGCCAUCGCUCAACGGAUAAAAGGUACUCUGGGGAUAACAGGCUGAUACCGCCCAAGAGUUCAUAUCGACGGCGGUGUUUGGCACCUCGAUGUCGGCUCAUCUCAUCCUGGGGCUGUAGCCGGUCCCAAGGGUAUGGCUGUUCGCCAUUUAAAGAGGUACGUGAGCUGGGUUUAAAACGUCGUGAGACAGUUUGGUCCCUAUCUUCCGUGGGCGCUGCAGAUUUGAGGAAGCCUGCUCCUAGUACGAGAGGACCGGAGUGGACACACCUCUGGUGUAUCGGUUGUCACGCCAGUGGCAUUGCCGAGUAGCUAAGUGUGAAGAGAUAACCGCUGAAAGCAUCUAAGCGGGAAACUCGUUUCAAGAUGAGAUCUGCCGGGGCCUUGAGCCCCCUAAAGAGUCGUUCAAGACCAGGACGUUGAUAGGUCAGGUGUGGAAGCG
rnacentral:rRNA from 1 species